AGAGUUUGAUCAUGGCUCAGGAUGAACGCCGGCGGUGUGCCUAAUACAUGCAAGUCGUACGCACUGGCCCAACUGAUUGAUGGUGCUUGCACCUGAUUGACGAUGGAUCACCAGUGAGUGGCGGACGGGUGAGUAACACGUAGGUAACCUGCCCCGGAGCGGGGGAUAACAUUUGGAAACAGAUGCUAAUACCGCAUAACAACAAAAGCCACAUGGCUUUUGUUUGAAAGAUGGCUUUGGCUAUCACUCUGGGAUGGACCUGCGGUGCAUUAGCUAGUUGGUAAGGUAAUGGCUUACCAAGGCGAUGAUGCAUAGCCGAGUUGAGAGACUGAUCGGCCACAAUGGAACUGAGACACGGUCCAUACUCCUACGGGAGGCAGCAGUAGGGAAUCUUCCACAAUGGGCGCAAGCCUGAUGGAGCAACACCGCGUGAGUGAAGAAGGGUUUCGGCUCGUAAAGCUCUGUUGUUGGAGAAGAACGUGCGUGAGAGUAACUGUUCACGCAGUGACGGUAUCCAACCAGAAAGUCACGGCUAACUACGUGCCAGCAGCCGCGGUAAUACGUAGGUGGCAAGCGUUAUCCGGAUUUAUUGGGCGUAAAGCGAGCGCAGGCGGUUGCUUAGGUCUGAUGUGAAAGCCUUCGGCUUAACCGAAGAAGUGCAUCGGAAACCGGGCGACUUGAGUGCAGAAGAGGACAGUGGAACUCCAUGUGUAGCGGUGGAAUGCGUAGAUAUAUGGAAGAACACCAGUGGCGAAGGCGGCUGUCUGGUCUGCAACUGACGCUGAGGCUCGAAAGCAUGGGUAGCGAACAGGAUUAGAUACCCUGGUAGUCCAUGCCGUAAACGAUGAGUGCUAGGUGUCGGAGGGUUUCCGCCCUUCAGUGCCGGAGCUAACGCAUUAAGCACUCCGCCUGGGGAGUACGACCGCAAGGUUGAAACUCAAAGGAAUUGACGGGGGCCCGCACAAGCAGUGGAGUAUGUGGUUUAAUUCGACGCAACGCGAAGAACCUUACCAAGUCUUGACAUCCUGCGACGGUGCUGGAAACAGUACUUUCCUUCGGGACGCAGAGACAGGUGGUGCAUGGUUGUCGUCAGCUCGUGUCGUGAGAUGUUGGGUUAAGUCCCGCAACGAGCGCAACCCUUAUGGUCAGUUACUACGCAAGAGGACUCUGGCCAGACUGCCGUUGACAAAACGGAGGAAGGUGGGGAUGACGUCAAAUCAUCAUGCCCUUUAUGACUUGGGCUACACACGUACUACAAUGGCGUUAAACAAAGAGAAGCGAGACCGCGAGGUGGAGCAAAACUCAGAAACAACGUCCCAGUUCGGACUGCAGGCUGCAACUCGCCUGCACGAAGUCGGAAUUGCUAGUAAUCGCGGAUCAGCAUGCCGCGGUGAAUACGUUCCCGGGCCUUGCACUCACCGCCCGU
rnacentral:rRNA from 1 species